AGCAGAUUGAUAGAAGGAUGAUGGUGGAUCGAAGAACGCCACUCAAGGGUGUGAAAGCCCUUGUGAUGAGUUCACAAACCUACUCUCAAGGAAUCUCACACAAGAGACAUAGAUUUAGUGUUUACUAAGUAAAAGAAUCCCACCUAACUUAGAUAAACAAAAAAAAAACAAAGCCUAAGCUUUAGAGAGAAAACUUCUUUCUAUU
rnacentral:lncRNA from 1 species